rnacentral:rRNA from 1 species
GACAGAGGAUGCAAGCGUUAUCCGGAAUGAUUGGGCGUAAGCGUCUGUAGGUGGCUUUUCAAGUCCGCCGUCAAAUCCCAGGGCUCAACCCUGGACAGGCGGUGGAAACUACCAAGCUGGAGUACGGUAGGGGCAGAGGGGAAUUUCCGGUGGAGCGGUGAAAUGCAUUGAGAUCGGAAAGAACACCAACGGCGAAAGCACUCUAGCUGGGCCGACACUGACACUGAGAGACGAAAGCUAGAGGAGCAAAUGGG